rnacentral:lncRNA from 1 species
CGCCAUACUGCACUGUACGUAUAGCAAAAUUUGUAUGCAUAUGUAUAGGUUAAUUACAUACGUUAAUUUGCAUGUGAUACAGAUGUACGUUGUAUCGUAGUGGUUGGCUACAGUCGUCGUUGUUGUGUGUUAUUCAUGUAAAAUUUGAACGGUAUCAUGUAUACCAGUAUAUGUUAGUUAACUAUUGAAUAACAUGUAUACAUUAAUUCCUAC